ACGAUGAGUGCUAAGUGUUGGAGGGUUUCCGCCCUUCAGUGCUGCAGCUAACGCAUUAAGCACUCCGCCUGGGGAGUACGACCGCAAGGUUGAAACUCAAAGGAAUUGACGGGGGCCCGCACAAGCGGUGGAGCAUGUGGUUUAAUUCGAAGCAACGCGAAGAACCUUACCAGGUCUUGACAUCCUUUGACCACUCUAGAGAUAGAGCUUCCCCUUCGGGGGCAAAGUGACAGGUGGUGCAUGGUUGUCGUCAGCUCGUGUCGUGAGAUGUUGGGUUAAGUCCCGCAACGAGCGCAACCCUUAUUGUUAGUUGCCAUCAUUNAGUUGGGCACUCUAGCAAGACUGCCGGUGACAAACCGGAGGAAGGUGGGGAUGACGUCAAAUCAUCAUGCCCCUUAUGACCUGGGCUACACACGUGCUACAAUGGGAAGUACAACGAGUUGCGAAGUCGCGAGGCUAAGCUAAUCUCUUAAAGCUUCUCUCAGUUCGGAUUGCAGGCUGCAACUCGCCUGCAUAAGC
rnacentral:rRNA from 1 species